rnacentral:ncRNA from 1 species
UAAAAAUUUAUGAUUUUUAAAAUUUAUUUUUAAUUUAUUUUAUAUGUAAAUUUUAGUAUUAAAUUUUAAUUAUUUUAAUAAUAAUAAUGAAUUUAGCAGUAAAUAAAAUUAAAAAUUUAAGAAAUUAAGAUUUAGAAAUAUUAAAAUUAAUAACAAAUUUUGUGCCAGCAGUUGCGGUUAUACAAAAAUUAAAAUAAAUUUUUUUAGUUUUAAAUUAUUAAAAUUAUUUUAAAUUAAAUAUUAAAUUAUUAAGUAAAAUUUUAAUUUAAUUAAAAUUUAUAUUAUUAUUUAUGAUUUUAUAAAUUUAAAUAUAAACUAGGAUUAGAUACCCUAUUAUUAUGAAUUUAAUUUAUUAUACUAAAAUAGUAAAUAAUUAAUUAUUGAAACUUAAAUAAUUUGGCGGUAUUUUAGUUCAUUUAGAGGAAUCUGUUUAAUAAUUGAUAUUCCACGAAUAAAUUUACUUAUUUUAAUAUUUUGUAUAUCGUUGUUAAAAAAAUAUUUUUAGAUAAAAAUAAUAUUUUAAAAUUAAAAAAAAAAUUAAUUCAAAUCAAGAUGCAGAAAAUAAAUAAGAAUAUAAUGGAUUACAUUAAAAUUAUUUAAAAUGGAUUUUUUUUUGUAAUAAUAAAAUAAAAGUGGAUUUAAAUGUAAUUUUAUUUAAUUUAAUAAAAUGAUUAAAAAUUAGGAUAUGUACAUAUUGCCCGUCGCUUUCAUUUAAAAAUUGGAAUAAGUCGUAACAAAGUAGAGGUACUGGAAAGUGUUUCUAGAAAGAC